rnacentral:rRNA from 1 species
UACGUAGGGUGCGAGCGUUAAUCGGAAUUACUGGGCGUAAAGCGUGCGCAGGCGGUUUUUUAAGACAGAUGUGAAAUCCCCGGGCUUAACCUGGGAACUGCAUUUGUGACUGGAAGACUAGAGUACGGCAGAGGGGGGUAGAAUUCCAGGUGUAGCAGUGAAAUGCGUAGAUAUCUGGAGGAAUACCGAUGGCGAAGGCAGCCCCCUGGGUCGAUACUGACGCUCAUGCACGAAAGCGUGGGGAGCAAACAGG